rnacentral:rRNA from 1 species
UACGGAGGAUGCGAGCGUUAUCCGGAUUUAUUGGGUUUAAAGGGUGCGUAGGCGGUCGGAUAAGUUAGAGGUGAAAUCCCGAGGCUCAACUUCGGAAUUGCCUCUGAUACUGUUCGGCUAGAGAGUAGUUGCGGUAGGCGGAAUUCGUGGUGUAGCGGUGAAAUGCAUAGAUAUCACGAAGAACUCCGAUUGCGAAGGCAGCUUACCAGUCUGCGACUGACGCUCAGGCACGAAAGUGUGGGUAUCGAACAGG